rnacentral:rRNA from 1 species
CGUACACUCCUACGGGAGGCAGCAGUGGGGAAUAUUGGACAAUGGGCGCAAGCCUGAUCCAGCCAUGCCGCGUGAGUGAUGAAGGCCCUAGGGUUGUAAAGCUCUUUCACCGGUGAAGAUAAUGACGGUAACCGGAGAAGAAGCCCCGGCUAACUUCGUGCCAGCAGCCGCGGUAAUACGAAGGGGGCUAGCGUUGUUCGGAUUUACUGGGCGUAAAGCGCACGUAGGCGGACUAUUAAGUCAGGGGUGAAAUCCCGGGGCUCAACCUCGGAACUGCCUUUGAUACUGGUAGUCUUGAGUUCGAGAGAGGUGAGUGGAAUUCCGAGUGUAGAGGUGAAAUUCGUAGAUAUUCGGAGGAACACCAGUGGCGAAGGCGGCUCACUGGCUCGAUACUGACGCUGAGGUGCGAAAGCGUGGGGAGCAAACAGGAUUAGAUACCCCGGUAGUCCCAU